rnacentral:tRNA from 1 species
GCGGAGGUGGCGGAAUUGGUAGACGCGUAUGGUUGAGGGCCAUAUGACAGAUGUCGUGAGGGUUCGAGUCCCUUUCUCUGCACCA